AUUGAACGCUGGCGGCAGGCCUAACACAUGCAAGUCGAACGAGUGGCGGACGGGUGAGUAAUGUCUGGGAAACUGCCUGAUGGAGGGGGAUAACUACUGGAAACGGUACCUAAUACCGCAUACCAUCAGAUGUGCCCAGAUGGGAUUAGCUAGUUGGUGGGGUAACGGCUCACCAAGGCGACGAGCCCUAGCUGGUCUGAGAGGAUGACGUGGCAAGCGGGAACUGAGACACGGUCCGGACUCCUAGGGGAGGCAGCAGUGGAGAAUAGUGCGCAAUGGGAGCAAGCCUGAUGCAGCCAUGCGGCGUGUAUGAAGAAGGCCUUAGGGGUGUAAGGGACUUUCAGCGGGGAGGCGUUACCCGCAGAAGAAGCACCGGCUAACUCCGUGCCAGCCGCCGCGGUAAUUC
rnacentral:rRNA from 1 species